AGUCACUGACAUUAGAUACCCCUGUAGUCCAGGGUGUAAACGCUGCAGACUUGGUGUUGGAAGUCCUUUGGGGGCAUUCAGUGCCGGAGAGAAGUUGUUAAGUCUGCUACUUGGGAGUACGUCCGCAAGGAUGAAACUUAAAGGAAUUGGCGGGGGAGCACCGCAACGGGAGGAGCGUGCGGUUUAAUUGGAUUCAACACCGUAAAACUCACCAGGGAAGACUGUUACAUGAAAGCCGAGAUGAAGACUCUGCUAGAUUUUCAG
rnacentral:rRNA from 1 species